rnacentral:tRNA from 1 species
GCGCGUGUAGCUCAAUGGUGGAGCCCCGAGCUUAUACCUCGGUGGAUGUAGGUUCGAGUCCUACCACGCGCA